GAGGGGGUUGAGCUUGUGGGACUGAAGCCUAAACCACAGAGCAUAAAGGCACAACAGAAGCCUUAAAAAAGAAAUUGUUUAUUACUCUUUAUUUAUAGAAGAAGAAGACCCAUAUAAAUACCAACCCAAUGGCAUGCAAUGCAAGAACAUUUCAUUGCCUAAUUCAAACAUUGUAAAUUAAUGGAAAUUUGGGAACCAGCUGGCUGGCCAUCUCUCUCGUUUUGUAAACAAUAUUUGACACAGCACAUGAAACGGGUUAGUUUGACGCUCAAGAAAUUUGGACCUGCUAGAGUAGGUAAGGAUUAUAAAAUAUUCAGCAUGUCAUUUGUUUCAAUCGAUAGCCAACAAAGAAAUUAGUAGACGUCAAUUUCUUCAAACGUAGCCAUAAACACUGAUUAGAACUCAGAAUCGGUGGAAAAGUGCUUACGGCGCCUGAACCCUUUUACGUUUUUUGACCUACAAGCUCUUGCAUGCUUAAUAAACAAAAAAAAUAAAGAAAAGGUGAAUACCUC
rnacentral:misc_RNA from 1 species